AUUAAUCAACACAAGUUAAAUCAGAUUGUUAGCUAUAGAACUCUUAUGCUUCUAGGAAUACACAUCUAAUUAGUUUAACUAAAUUAGAUUGAUGUUCUAAAUUCUAGAAUCUAUUAUAACAGUCCAACACAGUCCACAAGUUAAAACAAACAGUCCAUCACAGUCCAUUGGAGUUCAGAAUACUUAACUACAGUGGACAAAUACACGCAUCAUAAGCAAAUUAUCCAUACAUGUAACAGAAGUUUUUAACAAUAAUUCCGCAGCAGGAAACUUGCUUCAUUUCUAUUUCACAUCCUAUACGAGAUGCUACAUCAAAGUCUCGAAGUGUACCUGGUUUUUGAAAUAAAACAAAAGGAGCAAGCAAUCAGCAGCAGCAAACAGACUCAGAAAAUAGAAUCAGCAACCCAGGAGGAUUUCAAAAUCCAAUAGUCGAUAAACCAACACAGCAAAUCCAGGAAGUAUCCAAAACCAAACCAGAAGAGUGAACUCGACCCACAUAGUUGUACAAAUGCAGAUUAGCUUCAAUUUGAGCCAGGAAUUUCCAGAAACUUUAACUAGGAUAGUAGACCCUUGAACCUUCAACAAACUGACUCGAAAUUCAGCUAAUGGACCUCUGAACCUCAACAACUUAGGAAUUGAGCUAGAUGAAUGUAAAUCAGUAGCCAAAACUGAAAUCCUAAUGCUUAAUGGAACAGUAAUCUGUUUUUUUUUCUAUUGUUUUUUUUUUGGUUUUCCUUUUUGAAUUUCAAUCUUCAGAUCUGAAGAGAUCAGAGAAUAUUGUUUUUUUUUGGAGGAGGGGGGGGGGAAUUUGAGGCUCCCAAAAAAAACUUUUUUUUUUAAGGCAUUGGUGAUACCUUUUUAUAGGCAAAGAUAAGGGCAGCCCUCAAUUUUCUAUUUACAAAUCAGUCCCUUAAUUAUUUUCACAUUUAGUCCCUUAUUUCUUAACUUGCUCCUCAAGUUAGUACACUACAAAUCUGAACUUUUAACUAACACCCUUUCUAGGAGCUUCUAGUAGUUUCUAAAUUCAAGCCCCAAGUGAAUCCCCCAUAUUACCCUUUUAUUAACUUGAAAUUACUAAUCCAACCCACCCUUGUUGACUGACCCUAGUUAAGCAAAUAUUCAAUGAAUUUUAAUCAGCAAAACUAAAUUCAAACUCAAAUCCUAACCCCAAACUAACUACUGAACUUUGAGUUGCCAAUCACCAUCAACAACCAAGAAACUAAUCAAUUGAUCAUCAUAAACUCAACAUGAAAUCAGAUUGCAUGAACUACUCUUGACGACUAAAUCUAAAUGAAACAAUUAAUCGACUAAAAUGAGAAUUGAACCUACUCGGAUAACUCUAAUCACCUAAAACUAACCUGAAAUCCACUGAAGUGAACAAACUAUACCAUCUGAAGUAAACUAUUAUUAACAAUUAAUCCAACAGAAUUAAAAACAGAGAUUGAGCUAAAUCAGAAAAUUUAAAAGACACCUACUAAUUUAAAGCUAACCAAUCAAAACGACAAUCAAACUAAGCUCUGAAAUAAGAUGAACUAGAUUCUAUUAGACAAAUAACUACUGUGAUACAAAUUGAACCAGAUAAAAAUGGAAACACACAAAAUUAGACUCCGACUAAUUACACAACUAAUCAACUAUAAAAGAAAUGUUAAGAACCCUUAAAGAAACUUACCGGCUAUUUUUCAAAAUCAAGAUUCGAACAAUUCCAGUGGGAUUUAAAUGUAUUUAACCGUGAAUUCUUCAUGGGGAAGGUCCAAAGACCAUGUGGUAUCAGUUUGGGAAGAUUUGGUGCGACAAGGGUUUUGGCCGGAAGAACUUAAACUGAUAUUCGAACAAUUCAGGCGGGAUUCGAGGGACGGGAUUAAGGGGGUUGUGUAGAGGAGAUUAAGGCGGUUCUAGGGUGUAAAUUUGGUGGCUUUUGGGACUGGUGGCGUCAUGGCCGGAAAACCUUCAAUCAAAGAUUCGAAAGGUUCAAGUAAGAUUCGAAGGAAAAGGCCGGUGGAUUUGGACAGAGGAGGAGAAGGGGAAGUGGGGUGUGAAUUUGGUGGUGAUUGGCAUCGGCGCCGCCAUCGCCGGUGACGGAGAAAUCAGGGCGGCGCAAUUAGGGUUCGUGAGGGAGAGAAGGCUUGAGGAAAAUGAUGAGGUCU
rnacentral:lncRNA from 1 species